GUUAAGCGACUAAGCGUACACGGUGGAUGCCCUGGCAGUCAGAGGCGAUGAAGGGCGUGCUAAUCUGCGAUAAGCGCCGGUAAGGUGAUAUGAACCGUUAUAACCGGCGAUACCCGAAUGGGGAAACCCAGUGUGAUUCGUCACACUAUCAUUAACUGAAUCCAUAGGUUAAUGAGGCGAACCGGGGGAACUGAAACAUCUAAGUACCCCGAGGAAAAGAAAUCAACCGAGAUUCCCCCAGUAGCGGCGAGCGAACGGGGAGGAGCCCAGAGCCUGAAUCAGCAUGUGUGUUAGUGGAAGCGUCUGGAAAGGCGCGCGAUACAGGGUGACAGCCCCGUACACAAAAGCGCAUGUGCUGUGAGCUCGAUGAGUAGGGCGGGACACGUGGUAUCCUGUCUGAAUAUGGGGGGACCAUCCUCCAAGGCUAAAUACUCCUGACUGACCGAUAGUGAACCAGUACCGUGAGGGAAAGGCGAAAAGAACCCCGGCGAGGGGAGUGAAAAAGAACCUGAAACCGUGUACGUACAAGCAGUGGGAGCACAGGUUUACCUGUGUGACUGCGUACCUUUUGUAUAAUGGGUCAGCGACUUAUAUUCUGUAGCAAGGUUAACCGUAUAGGGGAGCCGUAGGGAAACCGAGUCUUAACCGGGCGUUAAGUUGCAGGGUAUAGACCCGAAACCCGGU
rnacentral:rRNA from 1 species